AGAGCACGCUUGUCAAGGUACGAUGACUCCACUGUCUGGCUGUUUACCAACCAUGUGACCUCAGUAGAAUCUGCUGUUUGACAUUCGGUGUAGAUGCCUGCAUGGGCUCGCUUCACAGCUGGGAUCAUCAGUUUGCCUGUGUGCUGUUGGAAGGACCCUGCUUUGCCUGGUGGAGGAGCAGUGGUGUUGGAGUCCUGCAAGAAGCCAGCAUGUGGUUAAAUGACUCAUCACUACCAGCCUUAGCCUAUUACCUUAAAAGAGUGUAAAAAAUAAGACUUUCAAACGCAUCAGGCAGAAAGUUCCUUGCCAAGCGCCGACAGGUAUAUUCCCCUGAGUCUGAAGCCAGAGCUGGGAGGAGCCACAGCUGGUUAUCCUGCUGCUGAACACGGCCUUCAGCCUGAUAGUUUGCGCCCUCCGUCUCAUUGUCCUUGGUGAU